UACGUAGGUGGCGAGCGUUGUCCGGAUUCAUUGGGCGUAAAGCGCGCGCAGGUGGUGCGGUAAGUCUGUCGUGAAAUCUCCCGGCUCAACUGGGAGGGUGCGGUGGAGACUGCCGGACUGGAGGCACUCAGAGGCCGGUGGAAUUCCCGGUGGAGCGGUGAAAUGCGUAGAGAUCGGAAAGAACACCAACGGCGAAAGCACUCUGCUGGGCCGACACUGACACUGAGAGACGAAAGCUAGGGGAGCGAAUGGG
rnacentral:rRNA from 1 species